rnacentral:rRNA from 1 species
GACGAACGCUGGCGGCGUGCUUAACACAUGCAAGUCGAACGGAAAGGCCCUGCUUUUGUGGGGUGCUCGAGUGGCGAACGGGUGAGUAACACGUGAGUAACCUGCCCUUGACUUUGGGAUAACUUCAGGAAACUGGGGUUAAUACCGGAUAGGAGCUCCUGCUGCAUGGUGGGGGUUGGAAAGUUUCGGCGGUUGGGGAUGGACUCGCGGCUUAUCAGCUUGUUGGUGGGGUAGUGGCUUACCAAGGCUUUGACGGGUAGCCGGCCUGAGAGGGUGACCGGCCACAUUGGGACUGAGAGACGGCCCAGACUCCUACGUGAGGCAGCAGUGGGGAAUAUUGCGCAGUGGGCGGAAGCCUGAUGCGGCAACGCCGCGUGCGUGAUGACGGCCUUCGGGUGGUAAACCGCUUUCGCCUGUGACGAAGCGUGAGUGACGGUAAUGGGUAAAGAAGCACCGGCUAACUACGUG